AGCGAACGCUGGCGGCAGGCCUAACACAUGCAAGUCGAACGAAGUCUUCGGACUUAGUGGCGGACGGGUGAGUAACACGUGGGAACGUGCCUUUAGGUUCGGAAUAACUCAGGGAAACUUGUGCUAAUACCGAAUGUGCCCUUCGGGGGAAAGAUUUAUCGCCUUUAGAGCGGCCCGGGUCUGAUUAGCUAGUUGGUGAGGUAAAGGCUCACCAAGGCGACGAUCAGUAGCUGGUCUGAGAGGAUGAUCAGCCACAUUGGGACUGAGACACGGCCCAAACUCCUACGGGAGGCAGCAGUGGGGAAUCUUGCGCAAUGGGCGAAAGCCUGACGCAGCCAUGCCGCGUGAAUGACGAAGGUCUUAGGAUUGUAAAAUUCUUUCACCGGGGACGAUAAUGACGGUACCCGGAGAAGAAGCCCCGGCUAACUUCGUGCCAGCCGCCGCGGUAACAC
rnacentral:rRNA from 1 species